UGCAUUUCUGUUGAGGUAGAGUACUGACUUGAGCGUCAGAGAGUCUUGCCGAAGCACCCCCAACUCCGAUUUAGACUUUUCUUGCAGGUCCCGACGGUGGCCGCGAUCCUCUCGACUCCAGCUUCUCCAGCAUCGGCGAAAUUCUGCACCAACAGAAUUGGCACUAGAGGAAGGACGGCUGUGUCUUCGCAGGAACCUUAUUUUUAAAGAAGUACUCAACAGGACUGUCUCUGGUCAUCUCCUUCGACAUCUUCUUCUUCUUCUCCGGCC
rnacentral:lncRNA from 1 species